AUUGCCUCAGUAACGGCGAGUGAAGCGGCAACAGCUCAAAUUUGAAAUCUGGCCGCAAGGUCCGAGUUGUAAUUUGUAGAGGAUGCUUUUGGCGAGGUGCCUUCCGAGUUCCCUGGAACGGGACGCCAUAGAGGGUGAGAGCCCCGUACGGUAGGACCACCAAGCCUCUGUAAAGCUCCUUCGACGAGUCGAGUAGUUUGGGAAUGCUGCUCUAAAUGGGAGGUGUACGUCUUCUAAAGCUAAAUACCGGCCAGAGACCGAUAGCGCACAAGUAGAGUGAUCGAAAGAUGAAAAGCACUUUGAAAAGAGGGUUAAAAAGUACGUGAAAUUGUUGAAAGGGAAGCAUUCAUGACCAGACUUGGGCUUGGUUGAACAUCCGGCGUUCUCGCCGGUGCACUCUGCCAGUCCAGGCCAGCAUCAGUUUGCCCCGGGGGAUAAAGGCGGCGGGAAUGUGGCUCCCUUCGGGGAGUGUUAUAGCCCGUCGUGUAAUGCCCUGGGGCGGACUGAGGAACGCGCUUCGGCACGGAUGCUGGCGUAAUGGUCAUCAAUGACCCGUCUUGAAACACGGACCAAGGAGUCGUCUUCGUAUGCGAGUGUUCGGGUGUCAAACCCCUACGCGUAAUGAAAGUGAACGUAGGUGAGAGCUUCGGCGCAUCACCGACCGAUCCUGAUGUUCUCGGAUGGAUUUGAGUAAGAGCAUACGGGGCCGGACCCGAAAGAAGGUGAACUAUGCCUGUAUAGGGUGAAGCCAGAGGAAACUCUGGUGGAGGCUCGCAGCGGUUCUGACGUGCAAAUCGAUCGUCAAAUAUGGGCAUGGGGGCGAAAGACUAAUCGAACCUUCUAGUAGCU
rnacentral:rRNA from 1 species